rnacentral:rRNA from 1 species
AUUGAACGCUGGCGGCAUGCCUUACACAUGCAAGUCGAACGGUAACGGGCCUUCGGGUGCCGACGAGUGGCGAACGGGUGAGUAAUGCAUCGGAACGUACCUUUCAGUGGGGGAUAACGUAGCGAAAGUUACGCUAAUACCGCAUAUUCUGUGAGCAGGAAAGCAGGGGAUCGCAAGACCUUGCGCUGAUUGAGCGGCCGAUGUCAGAUUAGCUAGUUGGUGAGGUAAAGGCUCACCAAGGCGACGAUCUGUAGCGGGUCUGAGAGGAUGAUCCGCCACACUGGAACUGAGACACGGUCCAGACUCCUACGGGAGGCAGCAGUGGGGAAUUUUGGACAAUGGGGGCAACCCUGAUCCAGCCAUGCCGCGUGAGUGAAGAAGGCCUUCGGUUGUAAGACUCUUUCGGUCCGAGAAGAAAUACGCAU